rnacentral:misc_RNA from 1 species
CCGACAUUAUCCAUGAUCCGGGUCGUGGCGCGCCGCUCGCUAGAGUCACCUUUCGCCACCCAUUUCGCUACAAGCACCAGAAGGAGCUAUUCGUUGCUGCUGAGGGGAUGUAUACUGGUCAGUUUGUUUACUGUGGAAAGAAGGCGAAUUUGAUGGUUGGAAAUGUGUUACCUCUGAGAUCGAUUCCUGAGGGAGCUGUUGUGUGUAAUGUGGAACAUCAUGUGGGUGACAGAGGAGUCUUCGCUAGAUGUUCUGGG